rnacentral:rRNA from 1 species
GGGUUUCAUCAGCGACUCUAAACAAGUAGGUGGAUUAAACGCUAGUCUCUCUGGAAGAGGCGACACUAUCAAAUUGCGGGAAGAUCCUGUCAGGUCCACAUCACCGCGGCUCACCGAAAGGUGUAGUGCAGCACCAGGCUAACAACCUUGGGUAUGGUAAUAGUAUGUGGAAUAGGGAGAAUCUGCAGCCAAGCCCCUCUCUUGGGGUGCAGUUCACAGGCCAAAUGGUAGUGGGCACUCUGGUGCUUAAGAUAUGGUCGAGUCCCAAUUGAAAAAUUGGGUACAAGUACUCUGAUUGAUUACAUACAGUCUAUGCUCAGUCGAAUACAGCUAGUUGUAAAUGCAAAUGUUCCGUAGGUGAACCUGC